GAUGAAGAACGCAGCGAAAUGCGAUAAGUAGUGUGAAUUGCAGAAUUCAGUGAAUCAUCGAAUCUUUGAACGCACAUUGCGCCCCUUGGUAUUCCAUGGGGCAUGCCUGUUCGAGCGUCAUUUGUACCUUCAAGCUUUGCUUGGUGUUGGGUGUUUGUCUCGCCUUUGCGUGUAGACUCGCCUUAAAAUAAUUGGCAGCCGGUGUAUUGAUUUCGGAGCGCAGUACACCUCGCGCUUUGCACUCAUAACGACAGCGUCCAAAAGUACAUUUUACACUCUUGACCUCGGAUCAGGUAGGGAUACCCGCUGAACUUAAGCAUAUCAAUAAGCGGAGGA
rnacentral:misc_RNA from 1 species